AUAGAAUGUUUACAUAUAUCUAAAUGUCCAUAUAGAUACACAUGUACUAUAUAUGAUAGAUAGAUAGAUAUGAUAGAGUAGAUAGAUGAUAGACAGACAGAUAGAUAGAUACAGUAGAUAGAUGAUAGAUAGAUAGAUAUAGAUAGAUGAUAGGUAGAUAGAAAUGACAGAUACAGAUGACAGAGAUAGAUGAUGAUAGAUAAAUAUAGAUGAUUGAUAGAUAGUAGAUAGAUGAUAGAUAGAUAGAUAGACAGAGUAGAUAGAUGAUAGGUAGAUAGAUAUGAUAGGUAGAGAUGAUAGAGAUGAUAGAUAGAUACAGAUAGAUAAUGAUAGAUAGAUAAAUAUAGAUGAUAGAUAGUAGAUAGAUGAUAGAUAGAUAGAGUAGAUAGAUGAUAGAUACAUAGAUAGAUACAGUAGAUAGAUGAUAGAUAUAGAUGAUAGAUAGAUAAAGAUGAUAGAUAGAUAUAUAUAGGUGAUGAUAGAUAUAGAUGAUAGAUAGAUAGAUAGAUAGAUAGAUAGAUAGAUAGAUAGUAGAUAGAGAUAGAUGAUAGAGUAGAGAGAUGAUAGAUACAUAGAUAGAUACAGUAGAUAGAUGAUAGAAAUGAUAGAUAGAUAUAGAUAGGUGAUGAUAGAUGGAUAGAUAGAUAGAUAGA
rnacentral:lncRNA from 10 species